rnacentral:rRNA from 1 species
CUACGCACUCCUACGGGAGGCAGCAGUGGGGAAUAUUGCACAAUGGGCGCAAGCCUGAUGCAGCCAUGCCGCGUGUAUGAAGAAGGCCUUCGGGUUGUAAAGUACUUUCAGCAGUGAGGAAGGUGGGUAUGUUAAUAGCAUAUUCAUUUGACGUUAGCUGCAGAAGAAGCACCGGCUAACUCCGUGCCAGCAGCCGCGGUAAUACGGAGGGUGCGAGCGUUAAUCGGAAUUACUGGGCGUAAAGCGCAUGCAGGUGGUUUGUUAAGUCAGAUGUGAAAGCCCGGGGCUCAACCUCGGAAUUGCAUUUGAAACUGGACAAACUAGAGUACUGUAGAGGGGGUAGAAUUUCAGGUGUAGCGGUGAAAUGCGUAGAGAUCUGAAGGAAUACCGGUGGCGAAGGCGGCCCCCUGGACAGAUACUGACACUCAGAUGCGAAAGCGUGGGGAGCAAACAGGAUUAGAUACCCUGGUAG